NNNNNNNNNNNNNNNNNNGGGAGCCGCGGGCGCUUUGGCCCAGGGUCCCGGGGCCAAAGAAUUGGGUUCCAUCCUGGUGGUGUUCCUUGGCUGACCCGCCCUUUCAGCUCCGAGAGCCUCAAUUUGCAGCUCUAUAUCAGGGAGACUAUUUUUGACCGAGAUGGAAAUCAGAAUUUUCCUGUGUUCUAGCUUUAGGGCGGUGUGUAUCUUUGCAAAGUUUUAAGAAAUCUUUUUACAAAGGCUUCAGCAGGCUUUCCUUUCCCUCUGGGUACAGAGCUUCAUUUCAGCCAAGGGGAGAAGGCCGAAAAACUUCCUGUCGAGUUCUGAUGAUCAGUUUUCAGAGCGGCCUCCUUCUGACCAUAGAGCUACACUAAAAACAAUCCUUUUGAAUAUCUCCACGGGCCUCAGCUGAGACAAACAGUAAAUGCUUCUGACCGUAUUGUAUUGAACAACCCUUCCAUAUAAGGGGCACCCUCAAAAAGUGUGCAACGAAUAUGACCCUCCCAAGAUCCAGAGCCACUCUCAAAGAUAACCAAAAGAGAGGAAGACGAAUUUUCCCGAGAGCUGGCAACCGCCAGUAGGGCACACUGAGAGCAACCUGCUCUUCUGCAUGGCCGUGUUUUGGGCCCAAGCCUGACAGGUGCCAAGCCAAGUUCUCAAGACACAAAAGGAGACAAACAGGAAGGCAGCAGCUGUACCCAGGAGAGGAAGGAUUCACAGCCGAAACUCCCCACUGGACCCGGGUUAUCUAAAUACAAGUUACUUAUUUGAUUGGCAUUUGCUCUCGUCAGUUUCGCAAACUGGCCAUCUGUCAGAGAGUAUACUACGUCCUGUUCCGAAAGACUUGGAAACGGGAGUCAUCAUGAUGAUUUAGAUGUGGCAUUACGUGAAGAAGAGAAGGUGUUGUCAUUGAUCGCUAGACGUUUCUAAUAGCCGUAGGACUGUCUGAUUUUCCGAGUGAAGUUUGGGUGUUCCCAAAGCAAUACCAUUAGUCAUGGUAAGCUAAAUUAUUCAUACAAGCCUUCUCUGUAUCUCGUCUAAAUAAUCAAUGCGAGCGUCUGCGCUGCUGUAGCCCCAUCGGUAGUAUUAGGCUCCUUGGCAGAAAUAGAAGGGACAGUUGCACGGAAAGAAGUCCACCUACAUUUGUGGAAGUGUCCCUGUGGCGCUCUGGGACUGGAUUGGUCAGUUUCAGGGAUGUCUCUGAUUCGUGAAAACUCUAGCGUGUGCCCCCCUUCCUUUCCUGACACUUCUCAG
rnacentral:lncRNA from 1 species